UACGAAGGGGGCUAGCGUUGCUCGGCAUCACUGGGCGUAAAGCGCACGUAGGCGGCUUCUUAAGUCAGGGGUGAAAUCCUGGAGCUCAACUCCAGAACUGCCUUUGAUACUGAGUAGCUUGAGUCCGGGAGAGGUGAGUGGAACUGCGAGUGUAGAGGUGAAAUUCGUAGAUAUUCGCAAGAACACCAGUGGCGAAGGCGGCUCACUGGCCCGGUACUGACGCUGAGGUGCGAAAGCGUGGGGAGCAAACAGG
rnacentral:rRNA from 1 species